UGAUGACGAGACGCUAAGGCGUUGAAGCAGUGUAUGUCAGACUUCCAAGAAAAGCUCGCAAUGUCAUAAAUAAAGAAUGCCUGUACCAUAACCGACACAGGUGGGUAGGUAGAGUAUACUAAGGGGCGCGAGAUAACUCUCUCUAAGGAACUCGGCAAAAUGACUCCGUAACUUCGGGAGAAGGAGUGCCUUAUUUAUAAGGUUGCAAUAACAAGAUCCAAGCAACUGUUUAUCAAAAACACAGGUCUCCGCUAAGUCGUAAGACGAUGUAUGGGGGCUGACGCCUGCCCAGUGCCAGAAGGUUAAAGAAGUUGGUUAGUGUAUGCGAAGCUGAUGACUGAAGCCCUGGUGAACGGCGGCCGUAACGAUAACGGUCCUAAGGUAGCGAAAUUCCUUGUCGGGUAAGUUCCGACCCGCACGAAAGGCGUAAUGAUUUGGAUACUGUCUCGGAGAGAGGCUCGGUGAAAUAGACUUGUCUGUGAAGAUGCGGACUACCUGCACCAGGACAGAAAGACCCUAUGAAGCUUUACUGUAACUUGAAAUUGGAAUUGGACUUUGCUUGCGCAGUAUAGGUGGGAAGCGUUGAAAAUAUUCUUGCGGGAGUAUUGGAGCUAUCAGUGAGAUACCACUCUUGUAAUGUUAGAUUUCUAACUUUGAACCAUAAUCUGGUCAAAGAACAGUUUCAGGUGGGCAGUUUGACUGGGGCGGUCGCCUCCCAAAUGGUAACGGAGGCGUACAAAGGUUUCCUCUGAACGGAUAGAAAUCGUAUCUAGAGUGUAAAGGCAUAAGGAAGCUUGACUGUGAGACCUACAAGUCGAGCAGGGACGAAAGUCGGUCUUAGUGAUCUGACGGUACUGAGUGGAAAGGCCGUCACUCAACGGAUAAAAGUUACUCUAAGGAUAACAGGCUGAUCUCCCCCAAGAGUUCACAUCGACGGGGAGGUUUGGCACCUCGAUGUCGGCUCAUCGCAUCCUGGGGCGGUAGUACGUCCCAAGGGUUGGGCUGUUCGCCCAUGAAAGCGGUACGCGAGCUGGGUUCAGAACGUCGUGAGACAGUUCGGUCCAUAUCCGGUGUAGGCGCUAGAAUAUUGAGAGGAGCCUUCUUUAGUACGAGAGGACCGAGAAGGACACACCGCUGGUGUACCAGUUAUCGUGCCAACGGUAAACGCUGGGUAGCUAUGUGUGGAGUGGAUAACCGCUGAAAGCAUCUAAGUGGGAAGCCCACCUCGAGAUGAGUAUUCGC
rnacentral:rRNA from 1 species